GAGUUUGAUCUUGGCUCAGAUUGAACGCUGGCGGCAUGCCUUACACAUGCAAGUCGAACGGCAGCAUGAUCUAGGCUUGCUAGAUUGAUGGCGAGUGGCGAACGGGUGAGUAAUACAUCGGAACGUGCCCUGUAGUGGGGGAUAACUAGUCGAAAGAUUAGCUAAUACCGCAUACGACCUGAGGGUGAAAGUGGGGGACCGCAAGGCCUCAUGCUAUAGGAGCGGCCGAUGUCUGAUUAGCUAGUU
rnacentral:rRNA from 1 species